UAAUAUGCUAAACUCACUUGUAAAUAAAACUCAUUUUAUCUUCAAUCUUCAUGAAAAGCUAAUGUCUCUAUUUUCAACUGCUGUGCUUUAAUUCAUGUGAACUACCAAAAGUUUUUAAACAUAUCAUCAACUUCAUCCAGUCAAAUCUUGAUGGAGAACUGGAGUGGCAGAAAAGGAUAAUAUGUCAGAUGCUUUAGAAGACAGCGUCUUAAUGAUAUUACCAAAAUAAACAUAUUCGAGGACAAAUGAAGAUAAUGCAUCUCUGUAGGAAAAGUUUAGCAACAUACAUCUACAUAAGGUUAAAAGGAAUAUGGAUGACCUGAAAUUCUAGGAUUUGGCACACUGGAAGGGCAUCAUCUGUCUGCAGCCACUUGAUAACAGAUUCCUGAAGACUUAUACAUGAUCUAGACACUUUGAAGCAAUUUCAAGACUGCAUGGGAGGUCACCGCCUUCGCUGACUCUGCAGUGACUUGGGUGAACCUUCAAAGAGAUCAAGCAAGAGUUCUUCCAAGUCAUCUGGUGUGUA